rnacentral:rRNA from 1 species
GACGAACGCUGGCGGCGUGCCUAACACAUGCAAGUCGAGCGAAUGAAGUUCCGUCGGGAACGGAUUUAGCGGCGGACGGGUGAGUAACACGUGGGCAACCUGCCUCAUAGAGGGGAAUAGCCUUCCGAAAGGGAGAUUAAUACCGCAUAAGAUUGUAGUACCGCAUGGUACAGCAAUUAAAGGAGCAAUCCGCUAUGAGAUGGGCCCGCGGCGCAUUAGCUAGUUGGUGAGGUAACGGCUCACCAAGGCGACGAUGCGUAGCCGACCUGAGAGGGUGAUCGGCCACAUUGGGGCUGAGACACGGCCCAGACUCCUACGGGAGGCAGCAGUGGGGAAUAUUGCACAAUGGGGGAAACCCUGAUGCAGCAACGCCGCGUGAGUGAUGACGGCCUUCGGGUUGUAAAGCUCUGUCUUCAGGGACGAUAAUGACGGUACCUGAGGAGGAAGCCACGGCUAACUACGUGCCGGCCGCCGCGGUAA